ACAAAGUAGAAGAACAUGUCAAGUUUUCUCAAAUCGCACCAAACUCAGUAACAUACAAAAAAAAAAAACAAAUUUUUGGAUUUACGACGAAGGGUAUGACAUCAGCCCUGAAGCUUCAGUAACCGCCGCAGCUUCUUCAUCAAGAAACAAAUUAUCACUUCUUCUAACCGCCGCAUGAAUCAGAACCAACACGGCGGCGGUUAACAAAGAUCCCAGAAUAUUCGAAGUAGCGUGAGUCAACAAAAGCAUCACAACCGUCAAAACCGAUAAACCAAUAAGAACCGUCCGAUCAUCAAUCUGAUAACCAAAAACAACAAGAGGCUCGUCACGGAGGAAAUAGAGAAAGAUCCAGAAGACGACCAAGAUUGAUAACACGAUCAACGAGGUUGGGUGAUAUAGAAGGCUUAGGAAGAGGAUGAAGAGAACUCCGAUGGCGUAAUUAGCUCUGAAAUAGCCGAGAUUCGUUUUGAUCCUCGAGAUCGCGUCGAAGAAACCGUGAGGGAGAGUCAUUGAUUCGAAAUCGAACAUUGAUUUCCAUGGGCGGCGCGUAGCUAGACCGGAUUUUAUACGGUGUUUGGCGCGUGAGAUGUAUUCGAGAUCUAUCGCCGGUGAUGGAUGAGACGACGUCGGAAUCGCCCCGUAGUUCGUCAUUUUUGGAGAAGAGAGACACGAAGCUUUUUUUUUUGUUGGUUGUAAUAAUUUAUAAAUUGCUCAGUGUCCCUAUGGAUUAGGUGAUGGUGCUAAUGUAAAUGUCACAUAUGGAUAAAAGUUGUUACAUGCCC
rnacentral:lncRNA from 1 species